rnacentral:rRNA from 1 species
GACGAACGCUGGCGGCAGGCCUAACACAUGCAAGUCGAACGAGUGGCGGACGGGUGAGUAAUGUCUGGGAAACUGCCCGAUGGAGGGGGAUAACUACUGGAAACGGUAGCUAAUACCGCAUACCAUCGGAUGUGCACAGAUGGGAUUAGCUAGUGGGUGGGGUAACGGCUCACCUAGGCGACGAUCCCUAGCUGGUCUGAGAGGAUGACCGGCAACACGGGAACUGAGAAACGGUCAAGACUCCGACGGGAGGCAGCAGGGGGGAAUAUGGGACAAUGGGCGCAAGCCUGAUGCAGCAAGGCCGCGUGUAGGAAGAAGGCCUUCGGGUUGUAAAGUACUUUCAGCGAGGAGGCGUUACUCGCAGAAGAAGCACCGGCUAACUCCGUGCCAGCCGCCGCGGUAAUAC